rnacentral:misc_RNA from 1 species
UACGGAGGGUGCAAGCAUUAAUCGGAUUUAUUGGGCGUAAAGGGUGCGUAGGCCGCCUCUUAAGUCAGACGUGAAAUUCCCGGGCUUAACCUGGGGACUGCGUUUGAGUACUGAGAGGCUUGAGGCUAGGUAGGGAAAGUGGAAUUCCGCGUGUAGCGGUGAAAUGCGUAGAUAUGCGGAAGAACACCCGUGGUGAAGACGACUUUCUGGUCUAGACCUGACGCUGAGGCACGAAAGCAAGGGGAGCAAACAGG